ensembl:snRNA U6 U6 spliceosomal RNA
GUGCUUGCUUCGGCAGCACAUACACUAAAAUUGGAAUGAUACAGAGAAGAUAAGCAUGGCCCCU